rnacentral:misc_RNA from 1 species
GAAAUGCGAGAAGUAAUGUGAAUUGCAGAAUUCAGUGAGUCAUCGAAUCUUUGAACGCACAUUGCGCCCGCCAGUAUUCUGGCGGGCAUGCCUGUUCGAGCGUCAUUUCAACCAUCAAGCCCCCGGGCUUGUGUUGGGGACCCUGCGGCUGCCCGCAGGCCCUGAAAUGCAGUGGCGGGCUCGCUGUCACCCCGGUCGUAGUAGUAUCAUCUCGCUCAGGGCGUGCUGCGGGUUCCGGCCGUAAAACAGCCUUAUUUUCCCCAAGGUUGACCUCGGAUCAGGUAGGAAGACCCGCUGAGUUUAA